UAGGGAAUCUUCGGCAAUGGGGGGAACCCUGACCGAGCAACGCCGCGUGAGUGAAGAAGGUUUUCGGAUCGUAAAGCUCUGUUGUUAAGGAAGAACGAGUGUGAGAAUGGAAAGUUCAUGCUGUGACGGUACUUAACCAGAAAGGGACGGCUAACUACGUGCCAGCAGCCGCGGUAAUACGUAGGUGGCAAGCGUUGUCCGGAUUUAUUGGGCGUAAAGCGAGCGCAGGCGGUCAAUUAAGUCUGAUGUGAAAGCCCCCGGCUCAACCGGAGAGGGUCAAUGGAAACUGGUUGACUUGAGUGCAGAAGAGGAGGGUGGAAUUCCAUGUGUAGCGGUGAAAUGCGUAGGUAUAUGGAGGAACACCAGUGGCGAAGGCGACUCUCUGGUCUGUAACUGACGCUGAGGCUCGAAAGCGUGGGUAGCAAACAGG
rnacentral:rRNA from 1 species